GGGGUGGAGGUAGCAUUAGUUGUGGCUCCAUAUUAGGCAUGCUUGGGACUACAAAUGUGUUGGACUACAGAUCCCAUGAGUCCAAGUACUAUAAAGGGGGAAAUCAAAUCUUCUGGCCUUUCUCUUUGUGGGACCAUGUGCUGCGUAGGAGAAGCUGUGUGUAUGCUUAAAGGAUAUAUACUGGUGGAUGCCUCAGAAAUUGAGUAGAUUCAUUCAUUAACACAGAUGAUGCAUGAUUGCCGUUUACUUUUAUCUAAAAUAUUGGUGGGUUAAUGUUGGGUUGUAAGAUAUGACUUUUAACAGUUACACUAUGAUGAAGUGAUUUGAAUUUAUUGUGGGACUGUGAUUUUGUUUCGUUUAUUUGUCUUCGUUUUGUGUUAAUCAACCAAAGACAAAGGGGUUCCCAUUCUUGUAUGCAUGGUUGACUCUUAAGGUGAUUGGGCACAAUUUGUAGUGGUUUAAGUCAAGUGCGUGCUGGUUUUCUAUUACACUUGUAGUGUUAUUGGUUUUGUGCUGUGAUUUGAGUGUACUCUUUAAUAGUGGAACUGCCAUUGUAUGGGAUUGGGGAACCCUAUGGUCUAUAGUGGGUUAAACCUUUGUGUUCUUUUCGUUUCUUUGCCACUUCUUAUUACCAUUUGUGUUUAAUAAAUCUGUUUGUGCUUGCAAGGAAACACACUGUGGUUGUUGCCCUUCU